CAAUCAGGAGAAGCUCCUUCACUUCUCCGCUUCCGAUUUCUCCAAAUCUCCGGCGCCACCGCCAUCAUCGCUUCCCUCACGAUGCACUCGUCACUGCCACACUUUGUCGAAUCGCGUGUUCUCCUUGGGUUGGCGGAGCCGGAGCUCUAGCAACUCGCCAUUGAUUUCGAUCAGGUGGAUAUUCCGGUCAAGUACCUCAGUUUUUUUCUUGAUGAUGAUGCAGAGCUUGAACAUAUAAAGGAGGUAAUGUAGUGUUGCAGAUAGGAAUGUGGUUCUCGUCGGAUGUUGACAGGCCAAGUUAAGGCACGCCUUAUUGAAGUUCUUUUAGAAUUGUUGGAAAGACAUCGCAGAGGCCGAGCGCUGGUGACUGACGAACACUUGGCUUAGUUGAAUUCUCUUUGUUGCAAUUUGACGUGUUUCGCACGUCUUAUUCAAAAUAUUAGCAAUUUCGCAUAAAAUCAAGUGAAGCACUUUGCAAAUAUAUACAACAAUGUUGUGUCAGAUGCAAGAUAUGAUGAUGGACUUCGAGGCUUGGAUGCUUCAACGCUCACAGUUCACUCAGGACUCACAGCCAGCUAGUAAUGACCAUGAUGUUGACCAUGUGGAUGAGCUUUAGUUUAUUUGAUAUUUGUUAAUAUUUUUCUUUUGUUAAAGUUCGUUUUGGACAUCUUUUCCUAAAUGCAUUAAUGAAAUCAGUUUUUGUUAGCUUUAUUAUUGCUAAAAAAUUUGU